UCUGGCGGCAGUAGCGCGGUGGUCCCACCUGACCCCAUGCCGAACUCAGAAGUGAAACGCCGUAGCGCCGAUGGUAGUGUGGGGUCUCGCCAUGCGAGAGUAGGGAACUGCCAGAC
rnacentral:rRNA from 1 species